AAUCAGUCCCAUGCUAUAAAGUUCUUAUGCAAUUAAAAACGUUCACUCCUCCAGGAAAUAGGAAGGACCUUAGAUACGAUUUGCCUCCCUUAGCAGCAGGAGAUAGUUACAGUCUGCUCAGCUACAAGCCAGAAAGCUAACGCUAUGCUAACAAGCCACGAGCCAAAGUCAAUAACAUUGUGUACAGUUGGCAAUCAGUAAAAAUUGACAGUAUGUUGAACAACAAGACAAGCUUGCUAUCCAGCCAUGUCAUUGUCCCC